rnacentral:rRNA from 1 species
CCUACGGGGGGCAGCAGUGAGGAAUAUUGGUCAAUGGGCGUAAGCCUGAACCAGCCAAGUCGCGUGAGGGAUGAAGGUUCUAUGGAUUGUAAACCUCUUUUAUAAGGGAAUAAAGUGCGGGACGUGUCCCGUUUUGUAUGUACCUUAUGAAUAAGGAUCGGCUAACUCCGUGCCAGCAGCCGCGGUAAUACGGAGGAUCCGAGCGUUAUCCGGAUUUAUUGGGUUUAAAGGGUGCGUAGGCGGCCUUUUAAGUCAGCGGUGAAAUUCCGGGGCUCAACCAUAGAAUUGCCGUUGAAACUGGGGGGCUUGAGUAUGUUUGAGGCAGGCGGAAUGCGUGGUGUAGCGGUGAAAUGCUUAGAUAUCACGCAGAACCCCGAUUGCGAAGGCAGCAUGCCAGGCCAUGACUGACGCUGAUGCACGAAAGCGUGGGGAUCGAACAGGAUUAGAUACCCGGGUAGUC